AUCAAAAUAAAUGUUUAUAUUGCUGCUAAACCAAACGUGAUAAUUGAAUGUUCAACACCUCUGGUUGUGAGUAAAGGUGAUAAUGUGUCAUGUGUAUGUAGAGGUGAAGGAGGUAACCCUCCUGCUAAUGUCACAUGGUUUAAUAAAAAUAACAACAUAAUUGGUGAUGUUGGAGUUGUAAAUAAGACAUUAGUAAUCACUAAUGCUACAGUGAAUGAUGGUGGAAAUUACACAUGUAAAGCACAAAGUUUUAAUGAUCCAAGGUUUAGAGAUGAGAAAUCCAUUGAAAUAACAGUGACACCUAUAUAUCCCCACAACAAACCAAUAUCACCAUCAGUCCGAUAUCAGUUAGAAAAGGUCAAAAUGUGACAAUAACCUGUGAAUCAGAUGGUUAUCCUGAACCAACCUACACUAUUUAUCAUAAUGGUGCAGUUAUCAGUAA